rnacentral:rRNA from 1 species
GACGAACGCUGGCGGCGCGCUUAGCACAUGCAAGUCGAACGGAAAGGCCUGCUUUCCCUUGUGGAUUGCGGGUACUCGAGUGGCGAACGGGUGAGUAACACGUGAGUGAUCUGCCCCCAACUUGGGUAUAAGCCUGGGAAACUGGGUCUAAUUCCCGAUAGGACUGCAGGGUGGUGCCUGUGGUGGAAAACGAUUUUCUAGUGGUUGGGGAUGAGCUCGCGGCCUAUCAGCUUGUUGGUGGGGUAGUGGCCUACCAAGGCGGCGACGGGUAGCCGGCCUGAGAGGGUGGACCGCCACAUUGAGACUGAGAUACGGCCCAGACUCCGACGGGCGGCAGCAGUGGGGAAUAUUGCACAAUGGGCGGAAGCCUGAUGCAGCGACGCCGCGUGGGGGAUGACGGCCUUCGGGUUGUAAACUCCUUUCGACCGCGAGGAAGCCACCUGGUUGGAAGGGUGGUGACGGUAGUGGUAGAAGAAGCACCGGCUAACUACGUG